AGCGAACGCUGGCGGCAGGCCUAACACAUGCAAGUCGAGCGAACUCUUCGGAGUUAGUGGCGGACGGGUGAGUAACUCGUGGGAACGUGCCUUUAGGUUCGGAAUAACUCAGGGAAACUUGUGCUAAUACCGAAUGUGCCCUUCGGGGGAAAGAUUUAUCGCCAUUAGAGCGGCCCGCGUCUGAUUAGCUAGUUGGUGAGGUAAAGGCUCACCAAGGCGACGAUCAGUAGCUGGUCUGAGAGGAUGAUCAGCCACAUUGGGACUGAGACACGGCCCAAACUCCUACGGGAGGCAGCAGUGGGGAAUCUUGCGCAAUGGGCGAAAGCCUGACGCAGCCAUGCCGCGUGAAUGAUGAAGGUCUUAGGAUUGUAAAAUUCUUUCACCGGGGACGAUAAUGACGGUACCCGGAGAAGAAGCCCCGGCUAACUUCGUGCCAGCCGCCGCAGUAA
rnacentral:rRNA from 1 species